rnacentral:rRNA from 1 species
AGCAUAUCAAUAAGCGCAGGAAAAGAAACCAACAGGGAUUACCUCAGUAACGGCGAGUGAAGCGGUAAUAGCUCAAAUUUGAAAUCUGGCCUCUUGGGGUCCGAGUUGUAAUUUGUAGAGGAUGUUUUGGGUACCGCCCCGGUCUAAAUUUCUUGGAACAGAAUGUCAAAGAGGGUGAGAAUCCCGUCUUGGACCGGCGGUAGGGCCUGUGUAAAACUCCUUCGACGAGUCGAGUUGUUUGGGAAUGCAGCUCAAAAUGGGUGGUAAAUUUCAUCUAAAGCUAAAUAUUGGCCAGAGACCGAUAGCGCACAAGUAGAGUGAUCGAAAGAUGAAAAGCACUUUGAAAAGAGAGUUAAACAGUAUGUGAAAUUGUUGAAAGGGAAGCGCUUGCAACCAGACUUGAGCGCGGCGGUUCCCCCGGUCUUUUGGCCGGGCUACUCCGUCGUGUCCAGGCCAACAUCGGUUCUGAGGGUCGGUCAAAGGCCUUGGGAAUGUAUCUACCCACGGGUAGACUUAUAGACCAGGGUGUCAUGCGGCCUCUCGGGACCGAGGAACGCGCUUCGGCUCGGAUGUUGGCGUAAUGGUUGUCAGCGACCCGUCUUGAAACACGGACCAAGGAGUCUAACAUCUAUGCGAGUGUUUGGGUGUCAAACCCGGAACGCGAAAUGAAAGUGAACGGAGGUAGGAAGCUUCGGCUGCACUAUCGACCGAUCCUGAAGUUUACGGAUGGAUUUGAGUAAGAGCAUAGCUGUUGGGACCCGAAAGAUGGUGAACUAUGCCUGAAUAGGGUGAAGCCAGAGGAAACUCUGGUGGAGGCUCGCAGCGGUUCUGACGUGCAAAUCGAUCGUCAAAUUUGGGUAUAGGGGCGAAAGACUAAUCGAACCAUCUGGUAGCUGGUUCCUGCCGAAUUUCCCCCUCAGGAA